UCGAGAAUCUUCGGCAAUGAGCGCAAGCUUGACCGAGCGAUGCCGCGUGCGGGAUGAAGGCCCUCGGGUUGUAAACCGCUGUCGUAGGGGAAUAAUGGUCGGUGGGUUCUCCCAUCGAUUUGAAUGAUCCUAGGAGGAAGGACGGGCUAAGUUCGUGCCAGCAGCCGCGGUAAGACGAACCGUCCAAACGUUAUUCGGAAUCACUGGGCUUACAGAGUUCGUAGGCGGUCUGGAAAGUUGGGUGUGAAAUCCCUCGGCUCAACCGAGGAACUGCGCUUGAAACUACCAGACUCGAGGGAGAUAGAGGAAAGCGGAACUGAUGGUGGAGCGGUGAAAUGCGUUGAUAUCAUCAGGAACACCGGUGGCGAAGGCGGCUUUCUGGGUCUUACCUGACGCUGAGGAACGAAAGCCAGGGGAGCGAACGG
rnacentral:rRNA from 1 species